rnacentral:rRNA from 1 species
UACGUAGGGUGCAAGCGUUGUCCGGAAUUAUUGGGCGUAAAGAGCUCGUAGGCGGUUUGUCGCGUCUGCUGUGAAAACUCAGGGCUUAACCCUGAGCCUGCAGUGGGUACGGGCAGACUAGAGUGUGGUAGGGGAGAUCGGAAUUCCUGGUGUAGCGGUGGAAUGCGCAGAUAUCGGGAGGAACACCAAUGGCGAAGGCAGCUCGCUGGGACGGUACUGACGCUGAGACGCGAAAGCGUGGGGAGCAAACAGG